AAUCCAUAGGUUAAUGAGGCGAACCGGGGGAACUGAAACAUCUAAGUACCCCGAGGAAAAGAAAUCAACCGAGAUUCCCCCAGUAGCGGCGAGCGAACGGGGAGGAGCCCAGAGCCUGAAUCAGCAUGUGUGUUAGUGGAAGCGUCUGGAAAGGCGCGCGAUACAGGGUGACAGCCCCGUACACAAAAGCGCAUGUGCUGUGAGCUCGAUGAGUAGGGCGGGACACGUGGUAUCCUGUCUGAAUAUGGGGGGACCAUCCUCCAAGGCUAAAUACUCCUGACUGACCGAUAGUGAACCAGUACCGUGAGGGAAAGGCGAAAAGAACCCCGGCGAGGGGAGUGAAAAAGAACCUGAAACCGUGUACGUACAAGCAGUGGGAGCACAGGUUUACCUGUGUGAC
rnacentral:rRNA from 9 species